UCACAGACCAGUCAUCUUUUUCACCUGUGUUGGGCACGCGUUUGUUAGCUUUUCCAAGCCACGGCAUUGUCAUUCGAUUCUUGAAUCAUACGAGACCGUAACCGCUUCGUCUCGCACGACCGAACGCAAGGGACACAAUGGUUGCCGACGAGAGACGCCAACCUUUACCGUAGCCGUAGGUGUUUCACGAUAACGUCCGACGAGACAGACGACAAGCCCUGCUUAUCUAUCGGUGGCGAGACAGUUGAUGCGAGCCCGUCCCUUCUAUCGGAAUCGCACAAUAUGGAAAAAAAAUUCUACCGGUACUUCACGACACGUUCCGGGAGACGUCGGGAGAAUUUACGGGUUCAUCUUUGAGAACAUCCGCGGUGCUCAAAACAACAGACUGACGACUAUGCUUUCCCAGGCAUAUGACAAGCAGAAGUCGUGACUGCAGAAUCAGUGAACAGUUUCGAAGCACGGUUGGAACUGUGCUGAGCUGGGGGAGGAAGGAGAACUGCGUGUGACAGGAGGGUGACACGACAGGCAGCAAAGCCUAAUUCACCUAGGAAUCCUACACGGUAUCCCCCACAAGCAAAAUUCAUGUCUGGACGCACUAAGAGAGGAACUGGAUAAGGGAGGUGCCACGCAGCAGCGUCACUGAAGGUGUUUCUCGACUUCAGUGCAUGACCAAGCCAAGGAGGCACCAAGUUCAACACGUGGGAAGACGCAGGGAAGGAGACAUCUCUCACCAUUUCAGCUGUAGUUAAUUCUGGAAGAUGCUAUCUGAUCCUGGUGAGAGGUUGCCAUCUCCACAGCCAGAAAGGCCGAUGCUCGUGUGUACGCCAUACCAGAGGACCUGGAACUGUUAAGUUCGUACAUGUCUUGUAAGGGGUUUGAUCGUUUAAAACGGAACUGUCUUGCAGAACUGGGCUGGGAUUGGCAUGAUAGGAAGUAAAUGAUCUGUGAUGUUACAUUCAUAACUUUGCUGAUAUUAAGAUUCCCUUUGUCUACCUGAGACAUUGUUGGCAGGGCCGAUCACAAUCUCUUGUUGGUGGCAAGGUGCUUGAGUGUGUUUUGUUGACACCCUGAGUGAUGUUGUCGGUAGGUGGUUAGGGCAUUUUGUGAGUGGGGGCUUCUUUUGCACACGGGACUUCAGCCCGUUUCUGUGGUGUACAGGCCCGGUGUGUGGCUGGUUUGGCUUCCGUGACUGUGUUGAUGGCUGAGAUUGUGUUCGGAGUUACUGCGAAGUUUAGUCCUUUAGAAAGCAGGGAUUUGCUGGAUCUGUUGGCUUGGGACGACUUGGGUUCUUCUACCACCUGUCGCCUUUUCUGCCUUGUGUGAUAGUCUAGGGCCGGGAACCUACUAGUAGACCAUUACAUAAGAUGCCCUGUGUCGUAAUCUUGGCUCCCGAACCAAGAAGACGGCACAGGGCCAGAAAGGAAGACAGGUGGUUGAAGAGUGCAAGUUGUUCUGAGCUGACAGAACUGGGAGGUCUCUGUUCUCUGAAGGACAGAACUUUGCAGUAACUUCGAAUGCAGUCUCGGCCAUGGACAUGGUCACAGAAACCAAAUCGGCCAUACAUCGGGCCUGAAUACCGCAGAAAUAGGCUGAAGCGCUGUGUGUAGAAGUAGCCACUGCUCUCAGAAUGUCCUAACCCCCUACUGGGAGCAUUACUCGGGGCGUCAUCAAAAUGUACUCAACACCUUGCCGCUUAUCAAGAGAUGAUUCUCUCCGCUGAUAAUGCUUCAGGUAGACAGAGGGGAUGGGACAUUUCUAGGUUGAACCUAGAACCGAAACUACAAUCACAAAUCAAGUUACUUCCUGUCAUGUCCCCAGCAGUCUGUAGAUGAAGCUCUUGUUUUCACGAAUACAAAGUGUACAAUUUUAUAGUCAUCAAUGUCCUCUGGAGUCUAUCUGGCGCACUGUAAGCACCGGUACCUCUGAGCAAGUUACAUUGAUUUGUUUUUCUAUCAGCACAAAUAAAAACUACUAGUAGUCUUUUCUCAUCUUUCUCAGUUAAGGACUGUUGCUUUUACAAACAUUGUACGUACUGUGUUCUGAAGGCGUCUGGGUUUGACUGUAGCCAGUAGUCGGUGUUUACAAAAUGCUAUACAUAGUACGUAUUGAUGUAUUUCUUGUCUUGUAUUCUUUCCAUGUAUUUCUUCCAUUAAGACCUUUUGUUCUCACUCUAUAUUUCGUGUAAUUUGUGGACUUUCUAGUACAAUACUAGCAACCUUGUCCACAUUGUUAUAGAAAGUCAUCUUGUCCAAGAACCCUAAGAUUUUUUCGUUUGAGUACUUGUAAUGUAUUUCUGUGAUCAACGGUUGAAAAUGUCAAGUACAACCUAACCAACAUAUUGUACACUUUGUUUCCCCAAAUGUAUCAAGAAAUGUUAUUGAAUAAACUGUUUUAAACCA